rnacentral:tRNA from 1 species
GCCCGGGUGGCGGAAUAGGCAUACGCGCGACACUUAAAAUGUCGCGGCCGCAAGGCCUUGCGGGUUCGAGUCCCGCCCUGGGCA